rnacentral:lncRNA from 1 species
UAUGGGGAGACGGGAACCGGGUGUUACUAUAGGGGACAGGGUUACUAUAGGGAACAGGGUGACUAUAGGGAACAGGGUUACUAUAGGGAAACGGGGUGACUAUAGGGAACAGGGUGACUAUAGGGAUACGGGGUUGACAUCGGGAACAGGGUUCUAUAGGACGGGUGACUCAGGGACAGGGUGACUAUAGGGAACAGGGUA